rnacentral:tRNA from 2 species
UCGGGAUAGCUCAGUUGGUAGAGCAGAGGA